UUUCCAGUUACUUUUUCAGACAUAGCUAAAUUUGAAAUUGCCAACCCAAUAGAUGGCUUUUUUGUUAUUAUUUUUAACCAACAAAACGCAGAUGUAAGUUACCUACUGACGCUAAACGCAACUGUCAGUAUUUGACAGGCCAGACCGAUUUGUUUGAAUAUUUGAAUUUUGCAAAAUGGAUAAAGAAAUUUACUUUUUCCUAUGCUGAAAAACAAUUAUUAAAAAACAGCCAUAUUAUAGAAAAUAAGCCGACGGACGGGGCCACACUUCGCAUAACAAAAUGAGUCGUGGAACUCAGUAACCCAGUAGGGAAUUCACUGCGAGCCCGCUUACUACGCAAAACGUCAAGAAUCAGCACCUCCGCAAGCUGUGGCAAAACCUGAAGCAGCGUCAAAGGGAUGCCUUGACCAAAGAAAGAGUAUACAACACCGCUUGAUUCUACGGAUUCCGACCCAGACAAGACCCAGACCCAGACAACUAUAAUCCGACCACCGAUCCGGCCUUGAUUUAAAAAAUGUGUUGCUGUUGCAGUUUCUUGUCAUUUCUUCUCCUCAACCGUAACACCUUGCGAAAUGACGUAGAUUUAAAAAAAUCGUAGUUGUAAAUAAGAAUUAAAGUAUACAUUUCUCAAUAACUAUCUUUUAUUUAUAAGUACCAUUAUAAUAUUUACGUACUAAUA